GGGGUCGAUUCUGGUUUCGACUUCAUCUACUUAGCCAGGGGAAGCGUGCCGGUGCAGGCAGGAGACCACCGCAAGCGUCGCUGUAAAACAAUAAACGCAGAGAAGAACUCUCAGCGUGACUACGCCCUCGCUGCCUAAUUAGAAUAGGUUCAGCGACCUGCGUGUCCGUCAGGCCGGGGAUGUCCCCGCCCCGGUACCUGGCGUCGACUUAGGGGACUUGCCUUCCGGCCCUGUCAGUGGGGCCUUGGAAGGGACAUUUUCCACUGACUGGGCCCGUCAUCCGGACAUGUUCGCCUGAUCCGGAGGGUCGAGGAGAGACAGUGUGCGAACUGCGCACGGAGAAGCCCUGGCGCGGUGGUGAAGGACCCGGGUUCAAUUCCCGGCGGCUCCACCG
rnacentral:tmRNA from 1 species